rnacentral:rRNA from 1 species
UGGGGAAUAUUGCACAAUGGGCGAAAGCCUGAUGCAGCGACGCCGCGUGAGGGAUGACGGCCUUCGGGUUGUAAACCUCUUUCAGCAGGGAAGAAGCGAAAGUGACGGUACCUGCAGAAGAAGCGCCGGCUAACUACGUGCCAAGCAGCCGCGGUAAUACGUAGGGCGCGAGCGUUGUCCGGAAUUAUUGGGCGUAAAGAGCUCGUAGGCGGUCUGUCGCGUCGGAUGUGAAAGCCCGGGGCUUAACCCCGGGUCUGCAUUCGAUACGGGCAGACUAGAGUGUGGUAGGGAGAUCGGAAUUCCUGGUGUAGCGGUGAAAUGCGCAGAUAUCAGGAGGAACACCGGUGGCGAAAGGCGGAUCUCUGGGCCAUUACUGACGCUGAGGAGCGAAAGCGUGGGGAGCGAACAGGAUUAGGAUACCCGUGGUAGUCCACGCCGUAAACGGUGGGAACUAGGUGUUGGCGACAUUCCACGUCGUCGGUGCCG